rnacentral:rRNA from 1 species
UACGUAGGGGGCGAGCGUUGUCCGGAUUUACUGGGCGUAAAGCGCUUGUAGGCGGUCCACCAAGUUUGGGGUGACAGUUGCCGACUUAAUCGGCAAAGUGCCUCAAAGACUGGCGGACUUGAGGGCCACAGAGGGACAUGGAACUCCAGGUGUAGUGGUGAAAUGCGUAGAUAUCUGGAAGAACACCAAAGGCGAAGGCAGUGUCCUGGGUGGUCGCUGACGCUGAGAGGCGAAAGCCAGGGGAGCGAGCGGG